AAAAAAAAAAAGUUACUGUUGAGCCCUGAGUUAGCUUGUCCAUCCGAUUUGCCUCAUGUCUCUGAAAUUGUUUAAUUCAUUCUUGCCAUAUAUGAGCAAUUUGACAGGACAUACAUUUAUGCACCAUUCACAUGAAACAAUGCCAAUAGUCAAUAGAAAAAGCACAACAUUUUGGUAUAAGUACUACCUGGGAUAUUGAUUAAUGUUAGUUGAUGUGAUACAAUUAGGCAAUUUCUUACAGGAAUACAUCCAAUGUUUUACGACAUAUAACCCAGAUCAGUAACAACUUUCUCUCUAACCUCCAUGAAUCACGUUGCCAAGUGAAAGUGAAGCAUGAGUGAAUUCUGGAGUUUCCAUAUGGCUUCUAAAUGUAUAUGUUGUCUUAUAAGAAAUUAUAGAACAGUCAACCACAGCUUUCUGGCACUUUUCCAACAAAGUUCAGACAAUUAUUUCACUCUAAUACCAACAUCUAAUACACACCAAAGUAAAGAAGCAGAGAAAUUCUUUCACACGUAGGUUAAAACUCACGAGGCAAGGCAUUGUCAAAACUUUAUUCAUGGAGAAAACAUUUGACAAGGUGUCUGCAUAUUGUACUCUAUAAGUGGCAUGUUGUGGAAUAAAUUAUCCCUAUUCUCCAGAUGGUAGGUUUGUGUCCCUCAGGCCAGAGCAUUAACUCCCAAAACAAAGUUCUGUAAUGCACUGACUGCAAACAAUUAAGAGUCGAAGUGUAUCACAGAACUUUACUUGGAAAGCCACGGUGCCACAUAGUAGGCUAUUCCUUUGUGCCAACCCUUUUCGCCAAAUCUUCACCUGCAACAUCUGGUAGAAAGUGAGCACUGUUAAAGGGGGCCAGCUGCAAUCCAGCACGAGGGCAAACAGAUCAUAAAACGCCAAAAACAGUGGCCUAUCUGCAAUUGUUGCAGGGCUAACUAUCAAAUCAAACAGGAGUUUCCCCGAUUCUUAUUUCGCGGUGGUCGUCCCUCUGGAGGCUCCAAACAGUGUUCGAAGUGCCUUCAUAUCGUUUUUACCUCUUAUUUCAGCUCUGUGCAGUUCAG
ensembl:lncRNA